rnacentral:tRNA from 1 species
GGUGGGUUGGCAGAGUGGUUUAAUGCGCUCCCUUGCUAAGGGAGAGGGUGUAACAGCCCCGAGGGUUCAAAUCCUUCACCCGCCGCCA